rnacentral:rRNA from 1 species
CUUGGUCAUUUAGAGGAAGUAAAAGUCGUAACAAGGUCUCCGUAGGUGAACCUGCGGAGGGAUCAUUAACGAAUGGUCAUCCUUGAUCUUCUACCCUCAAACACCGUGGACGUCAGACGUGCUUCGGCGUCGAGAGGCGCCGCCUUUAUGCCCAAAGGCCUAUUUAGUCUGUAUGAAGAAAUGUCAAAACUUUCAACAAAGGAUCUCUUGGCUCUCGCAUCGAUGAAGAACGUAGCAAAGCGCGAAAUGUAGUGUGAAUUGCAGAACAUUGUGAAUCAUCGAAUCUUUGAACGCACAUUGCGCCUCUCGUUACAGGGAGGCAUGCCUGUCUGAGCGUCAUUUAAACCCAUGCCUCUGCGAUCGCCUUGGCGUGUUGGGCCUUCGUCGGCCGUACGGUCGAAGUGGCCUCGAAGUGAUCGGUCUGUUUGAGUGGACGGGAUCCUGUAGGACGAAGCCGCUCGAGGGACCCUAAACCCCCUCUGAAGUUGACCUCAGAUCAGGUAGGACUACCGCCUGAACUUAAGCAUAUCAAUAAGGCGAGGAACAGAAACCAACAGGGAUUCCCUCAGUAGUGGCGAAUGAAGCGGGAAAAGCUCAAGUUUGAAAUCCGGCGGUUCGUCCUCCGGAGUUGUAAGCUGAAGAGGCGUCGUGACCGACGUGGACCGGGCCCAAUUCCCUUGGAACAGGGAGUCGUGGAGGGUGAGAACCCCGUACGUGGCUCGGAACCCAUCGUCCUAGUGUCGCCGCCUCGAAGAGUCGGGUUGUUUGGGAAUGCAGCUCAAAAUGGGUGGUAAAUCUCAUCUAAAGCUAAAUAUUGGCGAGAGACCGAUAGCAAACAAGUAGAAUGAUCGAAAGAUGAAAAGUACUUUGAAAAGAGAGUGAAACAGUAUGUGAAAUUGUUGAAAUGGAAGCGUUUGGCAUCAGCCCAUGGCCUCCGACGAUCAACCCUGACAUCGGUCAGGUGCACUUGUCGGGGGUCGGGCCAGCGUCGACUCUGUCCGUCGGAGAAGGGUCGGGCGGAUGUGGCUCCUCCGAGAGCGUUAUAACGCCCGACGCCACACGGCGUGACGGGGUCGAGGUCUGCGGCCGUAUGUGCCGAGGACGCUGGCGUAAUGGUUGUAAGCGGCCCGUCUUGAAACACGGACC